UUUUGUAUUGUAUUGAAUGUGGUCUUCUCAGUUGUAAAUGAUGUGGUUUGUGUUGUUUUGUCUAAAAGCGUUUUUGUGAUGCGAAUGUUUGUUUUUUGUCGAAUUGGGUUCUUGGUCUUUCGUUCGUUUCAGUGUAUUCUCUUUUUAUCAUUGGCAGUAUAUUAUUUCUAGAUUUAUUCCUGUAUACAAUUAUAAGAUUGAGUAUUGAGUCAAAUAUUGCAGUGUGUUUUAAUAAAUUUACUUGUCUCAUCAAUUUUAGAUAGCUGCAGAUACGUACCAAGACAACUGACAACAGACAUAAGGUGCAGACGACAUCUGGAUAAGCGCGUGCAUCUGUCCUUUUGUAUGUCUGCUUUUAUUCGUUUUGUUUUUCAUUGCUAUUUUUUCCACUAGAAUGAUGGGGUACUCGGAAAAAAAGUCACAGCAGGAUACUGAGAUGCAGACAAAACAAAAUGUGCAUUUCUCUUUAUCAUGAACAGGUAUGUAUAUUGCUACCUAUGUUAUACUAUUUUGCAUGCAUUUCUCUGCAGAUUUUUCCAAACUGGUGACUGAUGUUGAAUACAAGCAAAUGUGAAGAUAUAAUGUUGUAGAUGUCGCAAUGGUUUAGCGGACGGUGCAGCUGUGGCAACUAAUGUUGACUUCACAAGCACUGCAAGGAAGUCAUGUUGUAGAUUCAACAAUGGUUUAGUGGAUUGUGCAGCUUGGUCGUUUUUCUAGGGCACAAUGGGAAAGGUAAGGUCGACAUUUCUCCCAGAGUGACUCCAGUGCUUCAGGAAUGGGCAUACAGUUUAUGGCUUUGGUGAUUGUAAAGCUCGAAGUAUUCGGUGAGAAACACAAACUAACCGACGAAGGACACAAACUAUCAGACGAGAAGCAGUUUCCUAGAUCAUACACGAAGAAACUUUUAGUUAAUGGAACUACAACUGCCACAGGACUGCCUUGUUGGUACCAUAAAGCUGCCGAUAACCAGUGGUGCACUAGUACCAGUCAAUACCGGUCACCAGAGACGCACUGGAACCCUAUCGAUGCCGAUCAUCAGAGGUGUGCUGGAUCCCUUAUGUCAUGAUGUCAACAUAUUGAUCAACUGUUUUCAACCAGCACUGGUUGAUGGUUUUAGUGGAAUUCAAGGCUUGUUGGACAUAUCAUCUGUAUUUGUCCUGUCGUACUCACGGUAAAGAGCUCUUCAACACCUCUUGCACAAAACAAAAAAUCCUUGACGUCCGGGCAGACGAAGACUUCAGUCAGAUUUGAAAAGGCAAGAAAACAGUGUUUUACGUUACUGAAAGACCUAGAAAAGAAUUGAUUGCAGAAACAUAUCAUCGUGCCGUCCUGUGUUUGUUAUUACCGACAGAUGACAGUGCGAUGCGUUCCAGAUUGAUUUCAAACACACAAGAGAGAGAGAAAUGUACGCAGAAGGAAGAGCGAAGUACGAUGAAUUCACGACAAACCUUGCACAAGAUACAAGCAUGACACCACCACAGCCGCCCUGGCACAAGCAUAUUUAAACAAAUUAGAAAUAAGCUUACAUGUUUAUAAUCAUAUCCCCACGUACAAAGUAUAUGGGGUUAUAUUGGAGUCACGUAUGUCCACCAGUGUGUUCGUCCAACCGUCCAUCGUGUCCGCUUUCAUAAAAUUGACAUCAGUUAUUAACCUUAUCAGGACGGUAUGCAAAGCUCACAACCCUGGUCACUAGGUCCAAAGUUAAGGUUAUUCUUUGAGGUCAAAAGUCAAAUAGUUUAACAUCAUGUCUGCUCCAUAUUGUCUAAAUGGUUUGUAAGGUACUUAGCUCAACUAUUUGAAGAACAAAGAGGAUUAUUGUACUUGCCUUUGCAUCGAUGUCACUAUCACGGAUGUAUUAAAGUUAAAAUUUUAUAGCAAGCUUGCGUCACUGUAUAUUCUUUGCUACUGACCCUUUUAACUUUAAACUUCACAUAAGUGUUACAUAUGUAGUCUUGGUGAGGGACAAAAAUCUACAAGUUUAGAGUCUGGCUUCCUAAACGUCAAGGUCAGUGGGUCAAACAUUAUAACAGUGCUGGUUAAAGUUUUAUGACAAACUUCUCAAUUUCAUCAUAUCCUCUUAACCACUACCCUAUUAUCAUCACACCUUACAUAAAGAUUGAUCUUAGUCAGGGGCAAAAGUCUUUAGGUUUAAGAUCAGUUAGGUCAAAGGUCAAGGGCACUGGGGUCAGAUUUUGUAAUAAUGUUGGUUAAAGUUUUAUGGCACACCUCAAUUUUACUCAUACUGUUUCUUUGCACUGGUGUCCCGUAUGUCCCACACUUUUAAGCACUACCAACACUUUCUAUACCAUAAUUCCGACAUCUAUCCAGAGAUACCUUCCUCACACAAACUUAUAUUUCAUAUUCCCCUCAUCACCGCUACCCACCUGUCCUCGCCUACUUACACCAACCCCAUUUUAUCACCCUUAUACAUACACUUUCACUCAAAACCCCACUCACUUCCAAAUUUUUAUGCCCCGGAAGGGAGGCAUAUUAGUUUUCAACUGUCCAUUUGUUCGUUCAGUCAUUUGUUAACUUUUUGCAUGAAGGCACUUUACUCGUGAACCACU
rnacentral:lncRNA from 1 species